rnacentral:rRNA from 1 species
CCUACGGGCGGCAGCAGUGAGGAAUAUUGGUCAAUGGACGCAAGUCUGAACCAGCCAUGCCGCGUGCAGGAAGACGGCUCUAUGAGUUGUAAACUGCUUUUGUACGAGGGUAAACGCAGAUACGCGUAUCUGUCUGAAAGUAUCGUACGAAUAAGGAUCGGCUAACUCCGUGCCAGCAGCCGCGGUAAUACGGAGGAUUCAAGCGUUAUCCGGAUUUAUUGGGUUUAAAGGGUGCGUAGGCGGUCGGAUAAGUUAGAGGUGAAAUCCCGAGGCUCAACUUCGGCAUUGCCUCUGAUACUGUUCGGCGAGAGAGUAGUUGAGGUAGGCGGAAUGUAUGGUGUAGCGGUGAAAUGCUUAGAGAUCAUACAGAACACCGAUUGCGAAGGCAGCUUACCAAGCUACUUCUGACGUUGAGGCACGAAAGCGUGGGGAGCAAACAGGAUUAGAUACCCGGGUAGUC